rnacentral:rRNA from 1 species
GACGAACGCUGGCGGCGUGCCUAAUACAUGCAAGUAGAACGCACAGUUUAUACCGUAGCUUGCUACACCAUAGACUGUGAGUUGCGAACGGGUGAGUAACGCGUAGGUAACCUGCCUGGUAGCGGGGGAUAACUAUUGGAAACGAUAGCUAAUACCGCAUAAUAUUGAUUAUUGCAUGAUAAUUGAUUGAACGAUGCUAUUGCAUCACUACCAGAUGGACCUGCGUUGUAUUAGCUAGUAGGUGAGGUAACGGCUCACCUAGGCGACGAUACAUAGCCGACCUGAGAGGGUGAUCGGCCACACUGGGACUGAGACACGGCCCAGACUCCUACGGGAGGCAGCAGUAGGGAAUCUUCGGCAAUGGACGAAAGUCUGACCGAGCAACGCCGCGUGAGUGAAGAAGGUUUUCGGAUCGUAAAGCUCUGUUGUAAGAGAAGAACGGGUGUGAGAGUGGAAAGUUCACACUGUGACGGUAUCUUACCAGAAAGGGGCGGCUAACUACGUG